rnacentral:rRNA from 1 species
GAUGAACGCUGGCGGCAUGCCUAAUACAUGCAAGUCGAACGGACCUUUAUUUUUGAGAGUUCCUUUAUAGAAGUUCUCAUAAAUACUGGUUAGUGGCGGACGGGUGAGUAACACGUUGGUACCUGCCCUCUAGUGGGGAAUAACUGGCCGAAAGGUUGGCUAAUACCGCAUGUGGUCUACGGAUCAAAGCAGUAAUGCGCUAGAGGAGGGGCCUGCGUCUGAUUAGCUAGNGGUAGUGUAAUGGACUACCAAGGCGACGAUCAGUAGCUGGUUCGAGAGGAUGACCAGCCACACUGGGACUGAGAUACGGCCCAGACUCCUAGGGAGCAGCAGUAAGGAAUCUUCCACAAUGGACGAAAGUCUG